GUAGGUGGCAAGCGUUGUCCGGAAUUAUUGGGCGUAAAGCGCGCGCAGGCGGUCCUUUAAGUCUGAUGUGAAAGCCCACGGCUCAACCGUGGAGGGUCAUUGGAAACUGGGGUACUUGAGUACAGAAGAGGAAAGCGGAAUUCCAAGUGUAGCGGUGAAAUGCGUAGAGAUUUGGAGGAACACCAGUGGCGAAGGCGGCUUUCCGGUCUGUAACUGACGCUGAGGCGCGAAAGCGUGGGGAGCAAACAGGAUUAGAUACCCUGGUAGUCCACGCCGUAAACGAUGAGUGCUAAGUGUUAGGGGGUUUCCGCCCCUUAGUGCUGCAGCUAACGCAUUAAGCACUCCGCCUGGGGAGUACGGCCGCAAGGCUG
rnacentral:rRNA from 1 species